rnacentral:lncRNA from 1 species
UCUGUGUAGGAAGGGGUUAGUGUAAACAAUCAUAUAAUUUUUAUGACCAAACGGCUAAGCACCGAUUUUGAACUGAAAAAAGCUUCCACGCGUCUUGUUUCGAUAAAGUGGUACUCCAUGUCUCUAUCAGGUGUAUUGCGAUAUUUUAAUAUUGCUCGUUGUAAUAAAACUAGAUGUUCAAGUUAAGUUUGCCGUUUUGUUCAGUGUUAUGAGUGAUUAAACGUUUAACUGUUUUACGCCAACUUCAGCUCUGCAAUUGCUAUGCGGAAAAACAACCUAUGAAAGGCGAUGAUGCACUCACCAUAUUUUUAGAAAUUGUCUUGUUUUAUAUAUGCAAUAAAUUCCGUCUGAAGAUAAGUCAUCAAAUAUAUUCUUCGUAUGCAGUCAAUAAGGCUAUGUGCACCAUUGUGUGCUCCUUCGAUGAUUGACCAUUUACAAUAUCUGUCCUACGACCAUCAGGUAAUUGACACUUUAAAUUGGAAGGUGUUAGUGCAUGGAGCACUUGGUUGUGAUGGUGUCAUCGGUUAUUUUAACGAUUCUGCCCUUGACAUCAUUGAUGUUAUACCUUAUUGUGCCGAGUUUAGUAUUGCAAGACAUUUUUCUGGAGGGCAGGUGGAAUAACGAUUCGAUCCUCAUACAUGAACAAAUCAUGUAAUUUGUACAGGUCUUUGGAAGAAUUCACGAAUUUCAGUUUAAGCAUUUCUUGGCGGAAGUCAUUCGUUUCAUUUUCGAUUAUUUUUACCAGUUUAACCAUAAUUUUUAUCAUCGUUACUGUUGGUAGCAACACGC